UUCAGGUAUGGCGACUUGGUUCCACUCAGUCCUCCCGGAAAGAUUGUCGGUUCAAUGUGCGCCCUGAUCGGGGUGCUCACGUUGGCUCUGCCUGUGCCAAUCAUAGUAAGUGCAA
rfam:Heligmosomoides polygyrus genome assembly, scaffold: HPBE_contig0004248